rnacentral:rRNA from 1 species
GAUGAACGCUGGCGGUGUGCCUAACACAUGCAAGUCGAGCGAACAGACGAUGAGCUUGUUCCUCUAACGUUGGCGGCGGACGGGCGAGUAACACGUGCAUAACCUUCUUAUAUUACGUGGAUAAUUACGUGGAACCGGUUACACUACUAGCGCAUAUGAUGUACGGCUUAGAUCAAUAGUUCUUCACGGCUUGCGCGUUACUAUUAGCUGGUGUCGCAUUAGCUAGUUGGCUAGGUAAGGGCUCACCAAGGCGACGAUGCGUAGCUGGUCUGAGAGGAUGAUCAGCCACACUGGAACUGAGACACGGUCCAGACUCCUACGGGAGGCAGCAGUAGGGAAUAUUCCGCAAUGGGCGAAAGCCUGACGGAGCAACGCCGCGUGGGUGAUGAAGGUCUUCGGAUCGUAAAGCUCUGUUAUUAGGGAAGAAAAGAUGUAUAAGUAACUAUGCACGUCUUGACGGUACCUAAUCAAAAAGCAACGGCUAACUACGUG